ACGUCCAUACCACGCUGAACACACCGGUUCUCGUUCGAUCACCGAAGCUACUACGGGCGCAGUUAGUACUUGGAUGGGUGACCGCCUGGGAACACCGCGUGAUGUUG